CAGCGGAGCGUGUGGUUUAAUUUCGAGGCUACACGAAGAACCUUACCUGGGCUUGACAUGGCGGUGGUAGCGACCUGAAGGGAGCGACCUUCGGGAGCCGUCACAGGUGCUGCAUGGCUGUCGUCAGCUCGUGUCGUGAGAUGUUCGGUUAAGUCCGGUAACGAGCGCAACCCUCGCCGUCAGUUACAAGUGUCUGGCGGGACUGCCCGUUGAACGCGGGAGGAAGGUGGGAUGACGUCAAGUCAGCAUGGCCUUUAUGUCCAGGGCUACACACACGCUACAAUGGCCGGCACAGAGGGUCGCCAACCCGCGAGGGGGAGCCAAUCCAAGAAAACCGAUCGUAGUCCGGAUUGCAGUCUGCAGCUCGACUGCAUGAAGUCGGAAUCGCUAGUAAUCGCGGAUCAGCAUGUCGCGGUGAAUACGUUCCCGGGCCUU
rnacentral:rRNA from 1 species